UUUUUGAUAAAAAAGUAAUUUUUCUGUACACUAUUUAAGUGUAUUAUGUUCUUUUAGGACUCUUUAAUAUCCAGAAAGUGGGUGUUAUUAAUAAUACAGAGCCAGUACAUAACGAACACUAAAAGAAUAGAUUUAGAUAAUUCUGAUGUUUGGCCAUUGUUCUGGUUUACAAGAUAUGGUUUUCCAUUAUUCAAUUAAAAAUUUUCUACAACAAAUCAAUGGAUGUAUACAGUUUCAGGGCAGUACAUUUAUCCUUUUCAUGAAUAUUACCAACAAUGCAUCUAAAAUAUUAUAUUUCUUUUGGGUGAAUAUAUUUUUUCUUUUUUAAUAUUCACACUUCAGUUAAAUUUAAUUAAGUGGAGAAAAUUCCAGUGAAUCUUGAGUUUCAUUUUUAUGGUUUCUUAUUAUCAGAGAGAUUCUCUAACUCUAUUUUUAACUUCUGCCAAUUUUUAGCUUUUAGCCAUUUUUGUCUUUGGGAAAGAAUCUUUUGCUUGAACUUUGUGCAUUAAUAUUUUUUGAACUAUACUUUUAUUUAUUUUCAUUUAGUGAGAAUAAUGCAAUCUAUGAUUAACUGUUAGAAGUUUAUGUUUCAAUUUAC